UGAGUACACAGGAAGGGCCCCUCUGUCCACAGCCUGUCACUGGAUGGAUGGGGACUCACAGAGGGACACAGUGUAUAUGUGCCACUCACUCGUCAUAGCUGUUUCUAUAAAAUAUUACAAAGAGUGUUUGACUUCUAUAUAGUUGUAAAAGUAGUCCUAAAGAGACUGGCUUUCCAGAGCUAGAAGCAGCCAUCUGUGACAAGGGACAGGCUGCAUAAUGCUAAUUGGUCCAGUGCAGAGAGAGCAAGCGAGACAGCUGUCCCCCUGGCUGCUGCUCAGGAAUGGGACUGUGCGUCUUUGUGCCCAGGAGUUUCUGUUGAGCAGGUUCCUGCCGUUGGGGUUCUUCUUGGGAUCCUCGUGUGUGCUGAUGUUGUUUUUUUAAUAAGAUGAGUUACUGGUUUUGUUUAUAUUGGAAUCAUAUUUCAUACACACGCCUUUUCAAGGCUUUCUGGAAGCUGCAGAAGCCGCUCACUGGUUGGAGCCCUUGUUCUUUGUCUCAGAGCUGACGUUUACUGUCAGCCUUGUUUUCCUCUCACCGAAUCCCAAAACGGGCUAUGAAGCAAGGCCAGGGAAACGAAGACUUUACCUAGUUAUACUUAAUGAGAAAAAAAAAUUCUAAUACAAUUUUAAGCCAUUUUUAAGGUGGGGUGGGCAUCUUUCUCUCAGUUAGCCAGGGUGGUCUCACACUGCUAGGCAAUUUGGAAAUAUUUUCUAUGUAGCUAGAGCUAAUCUGGAGGGUUAGCCUGUCUGUUGGGCUGGAGAUUGAAGCCAGAGCUUCCUGCAUGCUCAGCACGCACUCCGUGGCUGAGGUACUCCCAUAUCCCAGCAGAAUUUAGUCUUAAGUUUCUUCCUUUUGCCAUUCAGUGACGUCUUAUAGAUUAUUUUUCUUCUCAGAGGUGGCUCACGCCGUUCUUCCUGGCUGUGGGGAAGCAGAGGCAGGCAGCUGCAUGACUCCCGGACAGCCCAAGUUGUGUGGUGACGCCUUUAGUCUCAGCACUCAGGAGGCAGAGACAGGUGCAUCUCUGUGAGUUAGAGGCUAGCCUGGUCUACAGAGCAAGUUCCAGGACAGACAAGGCUACACAGAGAAACCCUACCUCAAAAACAAACAAACAAAUGGUAUCUCAACAAAUUUUAAAAUAAAGCCUGCACC
rnacentral:lncRNA from 1 species